rnacentral:rRNA from 1 species
ACGGCAGCACGGGAGCAAUCCUGGUGGCGAGUGGCGAACGGGUGAGUAAUAUAUCGGAACGUGCCCAGUCGUGGGGGAUAACGUAGCGAAAGCUACGCUAAUACCGCAUACGAUCUAUGGAUGAAAGCGGGGGAUCGCAAGACCUCGCGCGAUUGGAGCGGCCGAUAUCAGAUUAGGUAGUUGGUGAGGUAAAGGCUCACCAAGCCGACGAUCUGUAGCUGGUCUGAGAGGACGACCAGCCACACUGGGACUGAGACACGGCCCAGACUCCUACAGGAGGCAGCAGUGGGGAAUUUUGGACAAUGGGCGCAAGCCUGAUCCAGCAAUGCCGCGUGCAGGAUGAAGGCCUUCGGGUUGUAAACUGCUUUUGUACGGAACGAAACGGUGAGCUCUAAUACAGUUUGCUAAUGACGGUACCGUAAGAAUAAGCACCGGCUAACUACGUGCCAGCAGCCGCGGUAAUACGUAGGGUGCGAGCGUUAAUCGGAAUUACUGGGCGUAAAGCGUGCGCAGGCGGUGAUGUAAGACAGAUGUGAAAUGCCCGGGCUCAACCUGGGACCUGCAUUUGUGACUGCAUCGCUAGAGUACGGUAGAGGGGGAUGGAAUUCCGCGUGUAGCAGUGAAAUGCGUAGAUAUGCGGAGGAACACCGAUGGCGAAGGCAAUCCCCUGGACCUGUACUGACGCUCAUGCACGAAAGCGUGGGGAGCAAACAGGAUUAGAUACCCUGGUAGUCCACGCCCUAAACGAUGUCAACUGGUUGUUGGGUCUUCACUGACUCAGUAACGAAGCUAACGCGUGAAGUUGAC